GACGAACGCUGGCGGCGUGCCUGACACAUGCAAGUCGGACGGUUCUUGCACCUUCAAGCUUGCUUGCUGGUGCAAGGAUAGUGGCGGACGGGUGAGUAACGCGUGAACAUCUACCCAUUGGAGGGGGACAACCCGUCGAAAGGCGGGCUAAUACCGCGUAAGCCGCGAGGUGAGAGGCUGCCUAUUGGUGGCCGCCGAUGGAUGGGUUCGCGUCCUAUCAGCUGGUUGGUGGGGUAACGGCCUACCAAGGCGAAGACGGGUAGCCGGUCUGAGAGGAUGGCCGGCCACACUGGAACUGAGACACGGUCCAGACUCCUACGGGAGGCAGCAGUGGGGAAUAUUGGGCAAUGGGGGUAACCCUGACCCAGCGACGCCGCGUGAGGGACGAAGGUUUUCGGAUCGUAAACCUCUGUUGUACGGGAAGAAGGAAUUGACGGUACCGUACGAGAAAGCCCCGGCAAACUACGUG
rnacentral:rRNA from 1 species